rnacentral:rRNA from 1 species
AUUGAACGCUGCGGCAGGCUUAACACAUGCAAGUCGAGCGAGCAGCGGACGGGUGAGUAAUGCUUAGGACUCUGCCUAUUAGUGGGGUACAACAUCUCGAAAGGGAUUCUAAUACCGCAUACUUAUACAUGAGACUAAGUCGGAGUCGCUAGUUGGUGGGGUAAAGGCCUACCAAGCCGACGAUCUGUAGCCGGCCUGAGAGGAUGAUCCGCCACAAUGGGACUGACACACGGACGAUACUCCUACGGGAGGCAGCCGUGGGGAUUACUGGAAAAUGGGUGGAACCCUGAUCCAGCCCCGCCGCGUGUGUGAAGAAGGCCUUAUGGUUGUAAAGCACUUUAACCGAGGAGGCGUUACUCGCAGAAUAAGCACCGGCUAACACUGUGACAGCAGCCGCGGUAAUAC